rnacentral:rRNA from 1 species
AUUAGGUGCUCAGUAAAGCUCCGGCGGUUUUGGAUGAGCCCACGUCCUAUCAGGUUGUUGGUAAGGUAAUUGCUUACCAAGCCUAUGACGGGUAGCUGGUCUUAGCGGAUGACCAGCCAGACUGGGACUGUGACACGGCCCAGACUCCUACGGGAGGCAGCAACUAGGAAUCAUGCGCAAUGGACGAAAGUCUGACGCUGCGACGUCGCGUGGAGGAUUGACGGUCUUCGGAUUGUAAACUCCUUUUAUAUGGGAACAAGUUCUGAGUGUACCAUAUGAAUAAGUGCCUGCUAACCACGUGCCAGAAGCAUCGGUAAUACGUGGGGCACAAGCGUUAUCCGGGUUUACUGGGCGUAAAGAGAUGCGUAGGCGUCCCGAAAAGUUUUGUGUUAAAUCUCCCCGCUCAACGGGGAAACCGCAUGAAAAACUUUCGGGAUUGAGUCAGGUAGAGAAAGGGGGAAUUCCUGGUGGAGCGGUUAAAUGCGUUGAUAUCAGGAGGAACACCAAUGGCGAAGGCACCCUUUUGGACCUAGACUGACGCUAAGGCUCGAAAGCGUGGGUAGCAAAACGGAUUAGAUACCCGUGUAGUCCACGCCGUAAACG